rnacentral:rRNA from 1 species
UACGAAGGGGGCUAGCGUUGUUCGGAAUCACUGGGCGUAAAGGGCGCGUAGGCGGCCGAUCAAGUCGGGGGUGAAAGCCUGUGGCUCAACCACAGAAUUGCCUUCGAUACUGUUUGGCUUGAGACCGGAAGAGGUUAGUGGAACUGCGAGUGUAGAGGUGAAAUCCGUAGAUAUUCGCAAGAACACCAGUGGCGAAGGCGGCUUCCUGGCCUGUUCUUGACGCUGAGGCGCGAAAGCUAGGGGAGCAAACGGG